rnacentral:lncRNA from 1 species
UCCAUGCGAAAGAUGGAUUCUCUUCCAUUGUAGGAAUCCAUCAUUAAGUUGUACAGUGGUCGCCUCGAUAUCCAUGCAAUUGGAUAAAUGAAGAAGUUUAGCAUGCGUUGAGAUCUAUCCGGAAAAUAAUGCAACGAGUGGUACUGUGAAAUAAGACAAGUCAUACUUUUGUCCAAAAGAUACAAACUGAAUCCAUUCAAUACAAGAUCACGUACAAACACAUCUUCUUUGACGUGCAGUUGGU